GACGAACGCUGGCGGCGUGCUUAACACAUGCAAGUCGAACGGCAAGGCCCUGCUUUUGUGGGGUGCUCGAGUGGCGAACGGGUGAGUAACACGUGAGUAACCUGCCCUUGACUUUGGGGUAACUUCAGGAAACUGGGGCUAAUACCGGAUAGGAGCUCCUGCUGCAUGGUGGGGGUUGGAAAGUGUCGGCGGGGGGGGAUGGACGGGCGGGUUAUCAGCUUGUUGGUGGGGUAGUGGCUUACCAGGGCUUUGACGGGUAGUCGGCCUGAGAGGGUGACCGGCCACAGUGGGACUGAGAGAGGGACCAGACUCCUACGGGAGGCAGCAGGGGGGAAUAUUGCACAAUGGGCGGGAGCCUGAUGCAGCAACGCCGCGUGCGGGAUGACGGCCUUCGGGGUGUAAACCGCUUUCGCCUGUGACGAAGCGUGAGUGACGGUAAUGGGUAAAGAAGCACCGGCUAACUACGUG
rnacentral:rRNA from 1 species